GAGUUAGCAUAGGAGGCCCCCUCAAAGUUUUUGACCUCAGAAGGCUUUUUCCCGAUCUUUUCUCUCAACGUAUGUGACAUGGAGCACGCCUGGGGAAGAGUCUCAUCGGAGCAAGUGUUUGGGGACAGUGUGACGCAGAGUUGUUAAGAGCCCGAGAAACGCUCUCCUUUUGACGGGGCCUCCAGGGGCUGCGUCAGUGCUGCUCCUUUGGUAAGAAAUCCACUCCGACUCCCUUUUUUCAAAAAGGUACGAACAGUUCACAGUUCACGCACAGCUGGCUUGUUUCUGAAUUCAAAAUACCACAACUUUUUGUAAAAACCAUUGAAAUUGUGCAGAUAUACAUGCAAAAAGAAUAGUUUUAUGAACGUCCAUACAUCCCUGUCACCCAGUUUCAUUGUAUGAAAGUCUCUUUCGGCGAACUGGCCAGGUUGUAGGAUAGGGGACGGCCCGCGGCUUUUUGUUCCGCAAGUCCUGUGUCAGCCCUACGUUCCUUUUCUAGACGGGCCCUUGUGUUUCACGGCCAACCUUUAUUUUCGGCCCUUUCUUUUCAACGAUAAUUUUUAUCCCGGUGCACCCGUUGCUUCCAACCAUUGGCACCUCUGCUGUUAUUUAUGAUGCCUGCACUCCCUUCACGCUUCCUCUCUUUUCCAGAAAGCCCUCAGGCUUUCCGUGUAGAAGGCAUGAGCUGAGCUCUGGCCCUGACGGGAAAGUGGCCCAGACACAGGCUGCUCCGUGGGGCUGGGCUGGUCUCCCUCGCACGUGGGCGUCAACAGUGAGGGGCCGCAGGACACAGGGCCCGAGGACAGGGACAGGGACGGGUGGCGCCGACUUGACAGCAGUUGCCAGGCCCUCUGCUCUCCUCAGAGAGACACCCACCGAGUAGGAGGGCCUCGGCAGCCCAGUGUUCCAGAGCGUCUGCCCGGUUGUCUGCCCGGCCCUCCUCCUCCGGGUCCUCGGGGGUCCCGGCUUUGUCCCAAGGGGCUGCCAGGCCCGGCCUCGCCAGAUGGCCGACCUCGGGCUUCGGCAGAGAUCCAAGGGGGUGGACGCGUGGUUCUGCCUGGGCCAUCUGGAACCUUCCAUGAGACUGGCUCUCCAGACACCACGUAAAAGAGCUCCUUUCUCGUUAAUUACAAGCAUGGCUGCGGAGCUACUGGGGGCUGGGUUUCCUGUACCGACAGGAAGCUCAUUACGGGAGGUGAGAAUUGAGCCAGCCCCCUAGGAGGAGAGCCGAGGCAGGCCGAGGCCGAGGCCGGGAAGGAGGGAGCCCUUAGCACCCUCUGAGCCCCAGCGCAGCCUUGCUUGAGGCGAGGCCCCCCAGCCCGCGGCAGAGCCAACCUACCUUUGUUCUGUUUCGUUCGCUUUGCACGUUGCGCGCCUGUCCCCGGAGCCACGAAGCUGAGGGGCUGCGGCGUGGAAACACAUCCCCGGGAGCCAAGACGCGGCGGGCCCUCCCUGUGCCGAGCAGCGCGGUGAGGGGGCAGAGGCCGCGCCGGGGCAGCUGCUGGCGCUCGUGCGACACUCCCGUGCCACCUGCCGCCGUGGCUGCUCGGACACACGUGCAGGAAAGCCGGCCAGACGUGAAGCCCCGCAUCUCUCGAGAGGUGAAGAAAGAUGAGGAAGCCGUAAACAAUUACGAAAUGUCGACGUCUGCGUCGACGCGUUAAUGUUGUCUGUGACGCAAGGGAAGCGCACAGAAAGCAUCUCUGCUAUCAACCCAAGUGUGACCGUUGCCAGGAGAGAGGCCCCUACGAUUGGCCUGCAGGCCGAACUCGCCCCCAGAUCACCAUCGCUGUUCCAGCCAGGGCGCCCGGCAGACGCCGUCUCAAAAUUGAGCCGAGCGAGCCCGCCUUCGCAGUCUGACUUGGCUCAGCGCGCGGUGGUCGCCGGGGGCGGGGCGCUGCUGGAACCGAGAGGGGAACAGUAAACACGCGGCCCUUACCGAGGCCGCGGUUACGAUGGCUGUGCCGUCCAGAACCCUCCCUGCCAGAAAAAAAAUUGUGAUCGUCUCCUAAGGCUUA